UUCAACAAGACCUCUGUCAUACCUCCAGUGGAGACUUGACACCUAGCACUGCUACAGCCAACUUUUCACACUUCAGUUGAUGGUUACUCCCCCUGUACCACACAGCUGUAGCCCAUCAGGCUUAUUCUGGUUUAUCAGACUUAGCCACAUCACCCUCAUAAUUCCUACUGACUUUAAAAUUCAGGAGGAAUUAACAGCAAUGUCCAGGGCAAUGUCAUGACAUCCGGUCAGACAUUCUUCUGCUCACUCAGCC
rnacentral:lncRNA from 1 species